CCUACGGGAGGCAGCAGUGGGGGAUAUUGCACAAUGGGGGAAACCCUGAUGCAGCGACGCCGCGUGGGUGAAGAAGCGCCUCGGCGCGUAAAGCCCUGUCAGCAGGGAAGAAAAUGACGGUACCUGAAGAAGAAGCCCCGGCUAACUACGUGCCAGCAGCCGCGGUAAUACGUAGGGGGCAAGCGUUAUCCGGAUUUACUGGGUGUAAAGGGGGCGCAGACGGCGAUGCAAGCCAGGAGGGAAAGCCCGGGGCCCAACCCCGGGACUGCUCUUGGAACUGCGUGGCUAGAGUGCAGGAGGGGCAGGCGGAAUGCCGGGUGUAGCGGUGAAAUGCGUAGAUAUCAGGAGGAACACCGGUGGCGAAGGCGGCCUGCUGGACUGCAACUGACGUUGAGGCCCGAAAGCGUGGGGAGCAAACAGGAUUAGAUACCCCAGUAGUC
rnacentral:rRNA from 1 species